rnacentral:rRNA from 1 species
UACGUAGGGGGCUAGCGUUGUCCGGAAUCAUUGGGCGUAAAGAGCUCGUAGGCGGCUCAGUAAGUCGGGUGUGAAACCCCCAGGCUCAACCUGGGGACGCCACCCGAUACUGCUGUGGCUAGAGUCCAGUAGGGGAGUGUGGAAUUCCCGGUGUAGCGGUGAAAUGCGCAGAUAUCGGGAGGAACACCAGCGGCGAAGGCGGCACUCUGGGCUGGAACUGACGCUGAGGAGCGAAAGCGUGGGUAGCAAACAGG